AAUGAUUANUAGGGAUAGUCGGGGGCAUCAGUAUUCAAUCGUCAGAGGUGAAAUUCUUGGAUCGAUUGAAGACUAACUACUGCGAAAGCAUUUGCCAAGGAUGUUUUCAUUAAUCAGGGAACGAAAGUUAGGGGAUCGAANACGAUCAGAUACCGUCGUAGUCUUAACCAUAAACUAUGCCGACUAGGGAUUGGGUGAUGUUCUUUUUUGACUCGCUCAGCACCUUACGAGAAAUCAAAGUCUUUGGGUUYUGGGGGGAGUAUGGUCSCAAGGCUGAAACUUAAAGGAAUUGACGGAAGGCACCACCAGGAGUGGAGCCUGCGGCUUAAUUUGACUCAACACGGGGAAACUCACCAGGUCCAGACACAUUAAGGAUUGACAGAUUGASAGCUCUUUCUUGAUUAUGUGGGUGGUGGUGCAUGGCCGUUCUUARUUGGUGRAGUGAUUYGUCUGCUUAAUUGCGAUAACGAACGAGAMCUUAACCUGCUAAAUAGUCAGGCCAGCUUCCCCUGGUCCGCAGGCUUCCUUAAARGGACWAUCGGUCCUUCAAGCCCGAUUGGAAGUUUGAGGCAAUAACCAGGUCUGGUGAUGCCCUUAGAUGUUCUGGGCCGCACGCGCGCUACACUGACAGAGCCAACGAGUCCAUAACCUUGUCCGAAAGGCCUGGUAUCAUGUAACU
rnacentral:rRNA from 1 species